AAUUAACUCACUUAAAGACUGGACUCAGAGGAAGUGUAAUGGGUGAACACUCAAAGCACAGGAGGAGAGCUCAAAUCCCUCAAAUCUCAGUGAUUCAAGUGGACUGAGUCACUUCUGGGCUCCAGCUGAUCUUGAAUAAUGAGACACACCAUGGUAUGAAAAGUGAGCCUGAAGAACCCUGAAAGCAUUUCUGAGUUGGAUGAGAUUUGGCUAGAAAAACAUCCUGUACUUAUGACUUGCAACAUAUGGCUUAGAAAGUAUUUUUUCUAUAACGCCUCUAAUAUAUAUGCAGAAGACACAAAGAGGGCAACUCAAUAUCACAAAAAACAGUCUAUCUCCAACUGGUGGCAAAGAUGAAUUCUAGACUCAUCACACUAGCUUCACAACUCAGCAGAAAAAAAUCCUGGGAUUGAUCUCAUUGGCCUGGGUUGACUCAUGUGGCCAUCUGUGAACCAGUCACUGAGCUUGAGGGAUGGAGUGCUCUCACUUGCCAGAUGUGUGCAGAUCCCUGGAGCUGGAGAAGGGAAGGGAUACAUGGAAACCAGGGGAGAGAUGGUUCUUCCAAGGAGCAUUGGCAUGCUCUUUCCAAAAAGAGGGUAUUUUGCAUUUCACCUCUGACAAGUGGUCCUUUGCUACACCCAUCACCUGGCUCUAAUCCUGCUUUCUUUUUACUUGUAUACUCCAUGCUUACCUUCUUAGAAGAGAGAUCUGGGUACUGGAAUGUUCUGGAGUCCAGAAAAGGACACCGUGCCACCCUUUAACAACAGCGCCAUGAUGCAGAAGGUCCACAAGCUGGCUCGAACUUAAAGGCAACUUCACUGUCUCCCCUAGUGCCUGGCACACAGCAGGUCAUUGUAAAUUUUUGUACACUGAAAUGAACAUCUAGCCACACACUGCAUGACUGGGGUUAGUGAGCUCGGCAGUCCAUAUUUCAGUCUCCAACUGCGUGAUUGUUGACUUCCUGCUGUGUGUCAGGCACCCUGGCAUGUGCGCCACUGUCUGAAUUCAGACCGGAUUCAAAUAUCACCUUCUGCAUAGCCCUCAUGUCAUCUUUAUCAUGCAGCUUUUUCAUCUUGCCUUAUUUUUGUCACUUGAAAUAUUACAGUUUUUGUCUACUUAUUUAUUUUAUGAGCACCCCCACCCCAUAAACACAGUAUAAAGUAGUGCAGAAGCAGGAAUAGAAACUUCAUCUAUCCCACAUAUUGGGAACACUCUCCAGAAAACAAUAGAUGCUCAAUAAAUAUUGGCUGAAUG
rnacentral:lncRNA from 1 species